AGAAGAUUGAUAGAAACUGUGCAAUACAAUGUGAAAGAACCCAUAUUUUAGAUUUGAUCUGGGCUCAAAUCCUUGUUCUACCACUUAUUAGCUAGGAGAUCUUGAGUGAGUUACUUAACUUCUAUUUCAUGUUCUUCCUCUGUAAAAUGAAUGGUAUACUCAAGAGGAACAGCAAUUCAUAAUAUCAAAAGAUGGAAAGCAGUCAAGAUGUUCAUCAACAGACUGUUGGGAAAAAUUACCCAGCAGAGAAAAUGAAUGAACUGCAGCUACAAAUGACAACAUGGAGGAAUCUAAGGAAUAUUAAACAAGAAAGGACAAGCUCCAGCUAUUAUUAUAGCAAGAUACCUGCACAGGGUGGACCCAUUCUGACUAGUGCAGUUCAAAUCUCGGUGCCCAGUUUCCAGGGCUGUAGCUCAGCAGCACAGCACUUAUCCGGCA